GACGAACGCUGGCGGCGUGCUUAACACAUGCAAGUCGAACGGAAAGGCCCAGCUUGCUGGGUGCUCGAGUGGCGAACGGGUGAGUAACACGUGGGUGAUCUGCCCCUAACUUCGGGAUAAGCUUGGGAAACUGGGUCUAAUACCGGAUAGGACAAUCGUUUAGUGUCGGUUGUGGAAAGUUUUUUCGGUUAGGGAUGAGCCCGCGGCCUAUCAGCUUGUUGGUGGGGUAAUGGCCUACCAAGGCGUCGACGGGUAGCCGGCCUGAGAGGGUGGAGGGCCAGAUUGGGACUGGGAUACGGCCCAGACUCCUACGGGAGGCAGCAGUGGGGAAUAGUGCACAAUGGGCGCAAGCCUGAUGCAGUGACGCCGCGUGGGGGAUGACGGCCUUAGGGUUGUAAACCUCUUUCGACAGGGACGAAGCUUUGGUGACGGUACCUGUAUAAGAAGCACCGGCUAACUACGUGCCAGCCGCCGCCGUAA
rnacentral:rRNA from 1 species